rnacentral:rRNA from 1 species
GAUGAACGCUGGCGGCGUGCCUAAUACAUGCAAGUCGAGCGAACAGACGAGGAGCUUGCUCCUCUGACGUUAGCGGCGGACGGGUGAGUAACACGUGGAUAACCUACCUAUAAGACUGGGAUAACUUCGGGAAACCGGAGCUAAUACCGGAUAAUAUAUUGAACCGCAUGGUUCAAUAGUGAAAGACGGUUUUGCUGUCACUUAUAGAUGGAUCCGCGCCGCAUUAGCUAGUUGGUAAGGUAACGGCUUAUCAAGGCGACGAUGCGUAGCCGACCUGAGAGGGUGAUCGGCCACACUGGAACUGAGACACGGUCCAGACUCCUACGGGAGGCAGCAGUAGGGAAUCUUCCGCAAUGGGCGAAAGCCUGACGGAGCAACGCCGCGUGAGUGAUGAAGGUCUUUGGAUCGUAAAACUCUGUUAUUAGGGAAGAACAAAUGUGUAAGUAACUAUGCACGUCUUGACGGUACCUAAUCAGAAAGCCACGGCUAACUACGUG